AUGAUCAAUAAAUGCCAUUUUGUCAUGAUUCAUGCAUCAAGCAUAUUCUGCCCAUUCCUACUCAUUUUAGACUAAUUAUGUUCUUUAGCUAGAACAAUUCUAAAUUGUUGAUAGCAAUAGCAAAGGAAAGAACAUAGGCAAUAAGAGUUAUUCGAUCUUGCAUACCAGAGCCGUAGGAAAGAAGCCAAUCUUCAUAGGUUUAGCUCAUGCGAGAGACAGAUUAUAUGAAAUCUGAAGAAAAAAAAAGAGAAGGAAAGGGAGCAGGCAUAACGGAAGUGUCUGGCUGAAAUAAAAAAAAGAAACAAAACGCAUGGAAUGCAGAACUAAACUCACUGUAAUAAAGAGAAAAAAGAUGAAUAGACAACAAUAAUUUGUGAGUAGUCGCACCUGCCCGCCCCCCAUGAUCGCAUAGGUGGCUUUUACUGUUUUUUAAUUGGGUUUGAUGCACACCCCUUGAGAAAUUCGUACAGAGAAACUCCAAUGAACGAGCAC
rnacentral:lncRNA from 1 species